rnacentral:misc_RNA from 1 species
GAUGAAGAACGCAGCGAAAUGCGAUACGUAAUGUGAAUUGCAAAUUCAGUGAAUCAUCGAGUCUUUGAACGCACAUUGCGCCCCCUGGUAUUCCGGGGGGCAUGCCUGUCCGAGCGUCAUUGCUGCCCUCAAGCACGGCUUGUGUGUUGGGCCCCGUCCUCCGAUCCCGGGGGACGGGCCCGAAAGGCAGCGGCGGCACCGCGUCCGGUCCUCGAGCGUAUGGGGCUUUGUCACCCGCUCUGUAGGCCCGGCCGGCGCUUGCCGAUCAACCCAAAUUUUUAUCCAGGUUGACCUCGGAUCAGGUAGGGAUACCCGCUGAACUUAAGCGUAUCAAUAAGCGGAGGA